AUUCUGGCUCAGGAUGAACGCUGGCGGCGUGCUUAACACAUGCAAGUCGAACGGGAUCCAUCAGGCUUUGCUUGGUGGUGAGAGUGGCGAACGGGUGAGUAAUGCGUGACCGACCUGCCCCAUACACCGGAAUAGCUCCUGGAAACGGGUGGUAAUGCCGGAUGCUCCAGUUGGAUGCAUGUCCUUCUGGGAAAGAUUCAUCGGUAUGGGAUGGGGUCGCGUCCUAUCAGCUUGAUGGCGGGGUAACGGCCCACCAUGGCUUCGACGGGUAGCCGGCCUGAGAGGGCGACCGGCCACAUUGGGACUGAGAUACGGCCCAGACUCCUACGGGAGGCAGCAGUGGGGAAUAUUGCACAAUGGGCGCAAGCCUGAUGCAGCGACGCCGCGUGCGGGAUGACGGCCUUCGGGUUGUAAACCGCUUUUGACUGGGAGCAAGCCCUUCGGGGUGAGUGUACCUUUCGAAUAAGCACCGGCUAACUACGUGCCAGCAGCCGCGGUAAUACGUAGGGUGCAAGCGUUAUCCGGAAUUAUUGGGCGUAAAGGGCUCGUAGGCGGUUCGUCGCGUCCGGUGUGAAAGUCCAUCGCUUAACGGUGGAUCCGCGCCGGGUACGGGCGGGCUUGAGUGCGGUAGGGGAGACUGGAAUUCCCGGUGUAACGGUGGAAUGUGUAGAUAUCGGGAAGAACACCAAUGGCGAAGGCAGGUCUCUGGGCCGUUACUGACGCUGAGGAGCGAAAGCGUGGGGAGCGAACAGGAUUAGAUACCCUGGUAGUCCACGCCGUAAACGGUGGAUGCUGGAUGUGGGGACCAUUCCACGGUCUCCGUGUCGGAGCCAACGCGUUAAGCAUCCCGCCUGGGGAGUACGGCCGCAAGGCUAAAACUCAAAGAAAUUGACGGGGGCCCGCACAAGCGGCGGAGCAUGCGGAUUAAUUCGAUGCAACGCGAAGAACCUUACCUGGGCUUGACAUGUUCCCGACAGCCGUAGAGAUAUGGCCUCCCUUCGGGGCGGGUUCACAGGUGGUGCAUGGUCGUCGUCAGCUCGUGUCGUGAGAUGUUGGGUUAAGUCCCGCAACGAGCGCAACCCU
rnacentral:rRNA from 1 species